UCAAUACGUUCAUCGGCUAACUGUCUUUCUCAGGUCAAUAAGUUCAUCAGCUAACUGUCUUUCUCAGGUCAAUAAGUUCAUCGGCUAACUGUCUUUCUCAGGUCAAUAAGUUCACCAGCUAACUGUCUUUCUCAGGUCAAUAAGUUCAUUGGCUAACUGUCUUUCUCAGGUCAAUAAGUUCAUCGGCUAACUGUCUUUCUCAGGUCAAUAAGUUCAUCGGCUAACUGUCUUUCUCAGGUCAAUAAGUUCAUCGGCUAACUGUCUUUCUCAGGUCAAUAACUUCAUCGGCUAACUGUCUUUCUCAGGUCAAUAAGUUCAUCAGCUAACUGUCUUUCUCAGGUCAAUAAGUUCAUCAGCUAACUGUCUUUCUCAGGUCAAUAA